rnacentral:rRNA from 1 species
ACUAAGCGUACACGGUGGAUGCCCUGGCAGUCAGAGGCGAUGAAGGACGUGCUAAUCUGCGAUAAGCGUCGGUAAGGUGAUAUGAACCGUUAUAACCGGCGAUUUCCGAAUGGGGAAACCCAGUGUGAUUCGUCACACUAUCAUUAACUGAAUCCAUAGGUUAAUGAGGCGAACCGGGGGAACUGAAACAUCUAAGUACCCCGAGGAAAAGAAAUCAACCGAGAUUCCCCCAGUAGCGGCGAGCGAACGGGGAGGAGCCCAGAGCCUGAAUCAGUGUGUGUGUUAGUGGAAGCGUCUGGAAAGGCGCGCGAUACAGGGUGACAGCCCCGUACACAAAAAUGCACAUGCUGUGAGCUCGAUGAGUAGGGCGGGACACGUGGUAUCCUGUCUGAAUAUGGGGGGACCAUCCUCCAAGGCUAAAUACUCCUGACUGACCGAUAGUGAACCAGUACCGUGAGGGAAAGGCGAAAAGAACCCCGGCGAGGGGAGUGAAAAAGAACCUGAAACCGUGUACGUACAAGCAGUGGGAGCACGCUUAGGCGUGUGACUGCGUACCUUUUGUAUAAUGGGUCAGCGACUUAUAUUCUGUAGCAAGGUUAACCGAAUAGGGGAGCCGAAGGGAAACCGAGUCUUAACUGGGCGUUAAGUUGCAGGGUAUAGACCCGAAACCCGGUGAUCUAGCCAUGGGCAGGUUGAAGGUUGGGUAACACUAACUGGAGGACCGAACCGACUAAUGUUGAAAAAUUAGCGGAUGACUUGUGGCUGGGGGUGAAAGGCCAAUCAAACCGGGAGAUAGCUGGUUCUCCCCGAAAGCUAUUUAGGUAGCGCCUCGUGAAUUCAUCUCCGGGGGUAGAGCACUGUUUCGGCAAGGGGGUCAUCCCGACUUACCAACCCGAUGCAAACUGCGAAUACCGGAGAAUGUUAUCACGGGAGACACACGGCGGGUGCUAACGUCCGUCGUGAAGAGGGAAACAACCCAGACCGCCAGCUAAGGUCCCAAAGUCAUGGUUAAGUGGGAAACGAUGUGGGAAGGCCCAGACAGCCAGGAUGUUGGCUUAGAAGCAGCCAUCAUUUAAAGAAAGCGUAAUAGCUCACUGGUCGAGUCGGCCUGCGCGGAAGAUGUAACGGGGCUAAACCAUGCACCGAAGCUGCGGCAGCGACGCUUAUGCGUUGUUGGGUAGGGGAGCGUUCUGUAAGCCUGUGAAGGUGUACUGUGAGGUAUGCUGGAGGUAUCAGAAGUGCGAAUGCUGACAUAAGUAACGAUAAAGCGGGUGAAAAGCCCGCUCGCCGGAAGACCAAGGGUUCCUGUCCAACGUUAAUCGGGGCAGGGUGAGUCGACCCCUAAGGCGAGGCCGAAAGGCGUAGUCGAUGGGAAACAGGUUAAUAUUCCUGUACUUGGUGUUACUGCGAAGGGGGGACGGAGAAGGCUAUGUUGGCCGGGCGACGGUUGUCCCGGUUUAAGCGUGUAGGCUGGUUUUCCAGGCAAAUCCGGAAAAUCAAGGCUGAGGCGUGAUGACGAGGCACUACGGUGCUGAAGCAACAAAUGCCCUGCUUCCAGGAAAAGCCUCUAAGCAUCAGGUAACAUCAAAUCGUACCCCAAACCGACACAGGUGGUCAGGUAGAGAAUACCAAGGCGCUUGAGAGAACUCGGGUGAAGGAACUAGGCAAAAUGGUGCCGUAACUUCGGGAGAAGGCACGCUGAUAUGUAGGUGAAGUCCCUCGCGGAUGGAGCUGAAAUCAGUCGAAGAUACCAGCUGGCUGCAACUGUUUAUUAAAAACACAGCACUGUGCAAACACGAAAGUGGACGUAUACGGUGUGACGCCUGCCCGGUGCCGGAAGGUUAAUUGAUGGGGUUAGCGCAAGCGAAGCUCUUGAUCGAAGCCCCGGUAAACGGCGGCCGUAACUAUAACGGUCCUAAGGUAGCGAAAUUCCUUGUCGGGUAAGUUCCGACCUGCACGAAUGGCGUAAUGAUGGCCAGGCUGUCUCCACCCGAGACUCAGUGAAAUUGAACUCGCUGUGAAGAUGCAGUGUACCCGCGGCAAGACGGAAAGACCCCGUGAACCUUUACUAUAGCUUGACACUGAACAUUGAGCCUUGAUGUGUAGGAUAGGUGGGAGGCUUUGAAGUGUGGACGCCAGUCUGCAUGGAGCCGACCUUGAAAUACCACCCUUUAAUGUUUGAUGUUCUAACGUUGACCCGUAAUCCGGGUUGCGGACAGUGUCUGGUGGGUAGUUUGACUGGGGCGGUCUCCUCCUAAAGAGUAACGGAGGAGCACGAAGGUUGGCUAAUCCUGGUCGGACAUCAGGAGGUUAGUGCAAUGGCAUAAGCCAGCUUGACUGCGAGCGUGACGGCGCGAGCAGGUGCGAAAGCAGGUCAUAGUGAUCCGGUGGUUCUGAAUGGAAGGGCCAUCGCUCAACGGAUAAAAGGUACUCCGGGGAUAACAGGCUGAUACCGCCCAAGAGUUCAUAUCGACGGCGGUGUUUGGCACCUCGAUGUCGGCUCAUCACAUCCUGGGGCUGAAGUAGGUCCCAAGGGUAUGGCUGUUCGCCAUUUAAAGUGGUACGCGAGCUGGGUUUAGAACGUCGUGAGACAGUUCGGUCCCUAUCUGCCGUGGGCGCUGGAGAAUUGAGGGGGGCUGCUCCUAGUACGAGAGGACCGGAGUGGACGCAUCACUGGUGUUCGGGUUGUCAUGCCAAUGGCACUGCCCGGUAGCUAAAUGCGGAAGAGAUAAGUGCUGAAAGCAUCUAAGCACGAAACUUGCCCCGAGAUGAGUUCUCCCUGACUCCUUGAGAGUCCUGAAGGAACGUUGAAGACGACGACGUUGAUAGGCCGGGUGUGUAAGCGCAGCGAUGCGUUGAGCUAACCGGUACUAAUGAACCGUGAGGCUUAACC